UACGGAGGUGGCAAGCGUUACUCGGAAUCAUUGGGUGUAAAGGGCAAGUAGGCGGCUUGGUAAGUGAGGGGUGAAAUCCUGCGACUCAAUCGCAGAACUGCCUUUCAAACUGCCAGGCUUGAGGUAAGAAGAGGAAAAUGGAAUUCUCGGUGUAAGGGUGAAAUCUGUAGAUAUCGAGAAGAACACCAACGGCGAAGGCAAUUUUCUACUCUUAUCCUGACGCUAAAUUGCGAAAGCUAGGGGAGCAAAC
rnacentral:rRNA from 1 species